CAAGGUAUUAUCAGUCACCUUCUGACCGCUACCGGGAAGGUUACAGAGUUUCUCGCGUGCGCCUUACACGUGGUGAUUGGACUUUUGUUGACAACCAUCAAAGCACCGCCGUCGCUUUAACUUAACCAACUGGCAACAUGGAUUACUCUGAUGUUUUUACCUGACGAAACUUCAAUGGCAUCGGAAAUGAAAGUGAAGUUAUGAACUUCUUUGACUAGAUACGAUUUUCUUUGGAACAGUUUUCGUGGCGAACGAUAAAAUACUUUGUCGCUAUGAAUGGAAUGAGCUUAGGAAUUAAGAUACUGGCCUCCCUGCUUGUCAUUCUUAUUUUGUCCAAAGGUACCACAGGAGUAACGUGGAACUGGGAACAGUGGUGGACCUACGAAGGAAUAUCAGGGCCUGAAUUCUGGGGACUGAUUAACCCAGACUGGAGGUUAUGUAGUAAAGGUCGCCGUCAAUCUCCUAUCGAUAUCGACCCCGGUCGGCUUCUAUAUGAUCCUAACCUUCGCCAGUUACAUGUCGAUAAACAUAAGGUGUCAGCUACUUUAGAGAAUACGGGUCACAGCGUCGUCCUCAGCCUUGACGGAGGAAAAACGCCCUUGAACGUCACAGGAGGACCUCUCACCUACCGCUAUCAACUGACAGAGGCCCACUUGAGAUACGGAAACGGUGACCACCUGGGGUCCGAACACACAAUCAACGGCAGAGCGUUUCCUGCCGAGAUUCAGCUGUUUGGUUUCAAUUCCCAUCUGUACGCCAACUUCACCCAAGCUCUAGAUAAAGCAUACGGAAUCGUUGGCAUUUCUCUGCUACUGCAAAUUGGGGAGCGUUCUAACCAAGCCCUUGGCCAAAUUACCGAAGGAGUUGAAAACAUUGUAUACGUUGGUACUUCACACACAUUGCAUCAUCUGAGCAUCCACGACCUACUGCCAGAUACAAAUUACUUCAUGACGUACGAUGGCUCCACGACCAUGCCUGCUUGUCAUGAAACGGUGACGUGGAUUAUAGCCAAUCGGCCCAUCUACAUCACUAAACAGCAGCUCUACGGUCUGCGGCAAUUGAAGCAGGGUGAGGACGAGUCUCAAUCUCCUGCUCCUCUCGCUAAUAACUUCCGUCCCACGCAGAAGUUGCAUCACAGACCCGUCCGAACCAACAUAGAUUUCACCAAUGCUGGGGGAAGCUGUCCAUCCAUGCACAGAGAAGGGAAUUAUAAAGUGAAUUUACUGUGAAAAGGUCAAUAGCCUCAUAACUUUUUUUUAACAAGAGAUAUAGAAAUUCGAAUCACGGUCACUGCCCAGGCUCCUACCUAUGACUCCUUACCAGGCCCGGUGGGUGAGAAGCCUCCUUGAUGAUACAAAUAGGAUACAUAAGGUCAAGUAGGCAGAAUUGUAUCUCAGUGACAGUGAGGCUCUCCAGCAACUUGUCUGAACAUAAAUUAAGUAAAUCAAGAAACUUCCCCCAUGGAUUGUGGUCUCCUGAGAGUGUUCGUGUUUCGAACGCCCCCUGGGAGUUGGUUGGAGCCUAGGCACUACUAAAUAGCGGGAGAAUACUCUGAUGAAUUCCGGCAACCGAGGAAAGGUGAAAAAGAAAAACUGACAUAGGACAAGAGCAGUGCGCCAGUGUAGGGGAAUACACCUCUCUAAACAAGAUAACUGGAGUUGAUUUUGUGUCAUCCAUCAGAACAAAGGUAUAUUAUUCCUGGACAACAAUAAACCUCAAAGUGCUUUCCCAUAAUGACAAAGCUUGUCCGGUAUCUGAACCCUCUAGAAUUCAAAGCACGAAAGAUCUGCGGAGUUACAUUUGUGCCAGUGUUCUCACCAGAAAUGAAUGCAUCUUAUAUACAGUGUUACUCUGAAAAGAUAGUUUUCCGCAUAGUAAACAUGAUGAUGUUGUCAUACUGUAUGAUAAAUGAUAAUAGUUUAAAGAAAACAGUUGUAGAAAUAAUGUACAGUGUCAGAAUUAUUAUAUAAAGGCCUGCGAAGGGUUUAGUUUAUAAGCUGAGAGUUAUGUUAAAUCAUAUGUUAGUUUACGAAAUAUAAAUAUAUAUAUUAAACAUAAAAAGAUAUGUUUAUCAGCAGAGUCUUGUAGCGUUAACAAAGUUGAUCUCUCAAAGCAAUUCAAACUGGAUUGUUUAGCUUGAAGUUGGAUAAAAAAAAAUUCCAAGAUUCAAUAGAUUUUUUCUCUUUGACACAAAUAGGCAAUGGUUGUUCUGCACAAGAGGGGAUGGUCAUAGGGGCCCCACAUGCAUUUUAUACAGGGACCUAUGAAUCACCUCGUAUGCCUGUAAAUCAUAUCAGCUUAUAGAGGCUAAGAUAAUCGUUAGGCAACUUAGCUUUAUAUGAAUUAUUUUUUACACAUGCUGUAAAUAUGUUAUUAAAGUGUAUUAUGUUAAA